UCUCAGUCCGCUCAUCUACAUCCGGUGCUGCGCCUGUGUGAAGAAUUCUGUGGAGACGAUGGCAAAUUACACUCGGUGUUUACAAGAGCUUCCCGCGAUUACGGUGAAUGACGUUAAUCGUAUUGUGAGGCAGUCAGCUGUCACACCCAACAGUAAGAAGGAGAAGGGCUUCAAAUUAUAUAUUUCGAGCUACAUCGACAACUUUGAAGAUUGUAUUAAAGGACUCUCGUCCUGUAAUACUGUCACAGAGCUGUUGUUCUUGUGUUGCUGGGACAGCACUGUGCAACCACAUUGUUGCAUUACUCUACCAAGCAGCCCACUACUCACAGCUUGGCAUCAGUGCAGUUCCUCCAGUUCACAGCUGUACUGAAAUGGAGCAGAGCUGGCACAAACCCAGAACAAUGGGAAUCAAGCCUGGUCCUGUCAACAGAAUGCUGGUUCUGUCUGCAAGACCUAAAGAGAGGAA